UACAGAGGUCUCAAGCGUUGUUCGGAUUCACUGGGCGUAAAGGGUGCGUAGGUGGCCAGGUAAGUUCGGUGUGAAAGCUCGGAGCUCAACUCCGAAAUGUCAUUGAAUACUAUCUGGCUGGAGGGUCGGAGGGGAGACUGGAAUUCUCGGUGUAGCAGUGAAAUGCGUAGAUAUCGAGAGGAACACCAGUGGCGAAGGCAGCUCGCUGGGACGUUACUGACGCUGAGACGCGAAAGCGUGGGGAGCAAACAGG
rnacentral:rRNA from 1 species